AUCAUGGUGGGUGUGGAGGAGUAGGGGAGGGUGGGAAGGGGAGAUGUUAGGAAGGAGCGUUCAGGUGAUGGUGGAAUGGAGUCGGCCUUCACUGCCUACCGUUGCUUUCCGGUCGUCGUGCCCCAUCCCCAAUCUUGGCUGCACAUCUAUCUUUCUCCUCUAUUUUUCUUGCCCCUUGAUUUCCACCUGGUUCUUUGAUAAUCUGAUUUUGAUUUCUCAAUUUAUAUUUUUUUUCUAAAUAAGAUGUGUGCAGAUCCAAUGAAGAAGACAAGAGGAAGACUGAAGAACAAGCGAAUCUGGGCAGAGGUAGGGGAAAGUGAGGGUCAGAAGAGCAAGGUCUUGUCAAGAGAUAGAAAUAGAAUGCUUGGAGGUGUACCGCAGGAAGGUGGACGAUGCCAAUCAGACCAGGGUCCAGCUGCACCUGUCUGUGGCCACUUAAAGAAGCUAAGGUUGCAUUGUUAGUGGCAACUCUAGGGGAGCACAAGCUGUAUAUCAAGCCGCUUUCAGGACCGGGACGCCAUCAACACCCUCCUCGCCGACCUCCGCUCGAUGGCCUUCCGCGUGGCACUGCCGCCCCCUCCUCCGGAGUCCGAUUGAGCUUGCUACAUGUGGUGCUUUUUUGUGUUUUUUCAUUUGGGGCUUGUUAAGCUGUGCUCUCAGUAUUGAACCUUGUACUCGGAUUGGGGCGUGCCCCCUUGUGUGUGUGUUUAUUAUCUGAACUAUGUUGGA